AUGGGGUUUUGCCAUGUUGACCAAGCUGGCCUCAAACUCCUGAGUCAGGUGAUCUGCCUGUCUCAACCUCCCAAAGUGCUAAGAUUACAGGCAAGAGACACUGUACCAGGCCUUGCUUCUGCUUAUGAUGUCUGUACCUGCCUUGAAGUCCUAUCGUCUCUUAAGGAAGGCCCAUAUCAAAACUACCCAUUUUGGGAAGCUUUUUGUUGGGAAACAACCAUGACAUCAUGAGUAACUUGGGAUAUUGAUCAUUUCACAUUUGGUAGUGUAUCAGUGCUUUUGAACUUUUUGAAAUAACAGACUACCGGUUGAAGUUAUAUUGACAUUAAGUCGUUACAUCAGUAAUGUAUUGAUGUUAUAUUACUGUAGCAUUGAUGUUAAGUAUUGAUAGUAUUGCUGUUUAGGUCAUUAGUUUAGAACUUCAACAGUCAGGUUCAUUCAUUUAGUAUAUAUUUUGUACCUGCUGUGUGCUGGCCACUGGGUUAACUGUUAAAAGUUGCAGAGUAUUUUCUUUUAUGCUUUUUCUGUAAACUUUUAAAAAAGCUGUAAUGAUGGUGGCACAGCAUUUCAUUUCUCUUUGGCAAAUAUUUGGUGUAAGUAAUAUGGUAGAUGUAUGUUUAAUUUUUAAAUAAAUUGCAAAAUUAUUUUGCAAUAUGUUAGUAACGUUUUACAUUUUAAUCCCCAGUGAAUAAGAAUUCAAGUUGUUCCCUGUGCUCACCAACAGUUGGAAUGGUCACUGCUAUUAAUUUUAGCCAUUCUUACAGAUUUGUAGAGAUAACUUAUUGUAAUUUUAAUUUGUAUUUUCCUAAUAACUAAUGAUGUUGUGUGCUUAUUUGCCAUCUGUUUGUCACCUUUGGUGGUCUGUUGAAAUCUUUAGUCCAUUUUUAAAUUGGGUUAUUUGUCUUAAUGAGUUGCAAAGGUUCUUAUUAUACUUUAGAUACUAGUUUUUUGUUGGACUAUGCAAAUACCCUAUUUCUCAUUAUAUUUUUACCCACUAACUUUAAUAUCUGUCAAUGAUUCUUGCCUGUGGCAGUUAUUACUGUGCUGUUUGUGUUACUGGUGAUUUUCUGUUGAUAUUAAGCUGCAUUUUAAAGUUGGGAUUCUAUUGUAAGGAAGAACUCUUUCAUUUACUCAUUAGUUCAAUUAUUUAUUAAUUUUUUCAUUGUUUUAUUGUUCAGUUGUCCAUUGAAAGCCCUUUCAGGUUGACUCUUGUUCAUCCUUUCAGCCUAUCCCCAUCAUUUUUGAGGAUACUUGUUUGCUUUCUGGUUCAUCUUAUAUUUUUCCUGCUUAAGCCUUGGAGUCAACCAUUGUCUAAGGAGUCCAGCAUCCUUUCUUUGAGAAUAGUGAUUAGAAACCAAGAUCUGAGCACUAGAAGUGCUCAUUACUAUUGGGGUGUCACUGCUUCUAGCAGGUGUUUUGAGCAGAUGGAGGCAGGCAAUAUAUGAAUUUAUAUACAUCUAUAUUUCUGUAUACAUGUGUAAAAAUAUAUGCAUAUGUAUGUUAAAAAUCAUGAAUUUAUACUGGUACAUCAAUUCCAAUCUGUUAAUGGAGAGCUCAGUCUAGCCUUUCUCUUUUCCUUUUAACUCCAUUCUUCAAAACCUGGCUUUCAUCUACAAUUUAUUUCUAUACUUGUAAAAUUGUAUUGUACACAUAGAUGUAACUUUAGAACUAUGUAAUAUACUUACUUGCUAGAGUAUAACAUUUGUAUAUACUUUUUUGUCUUUAGCCUUGUACACUACUAAUACCGUUGAUACGCUAUACCAAUACCUUAUGCUAAUCAAAAUACUUUUCCCCAAAGUUAAUUAUGUUCUUUUCUGUUUCACCCCCUUCAGUGUCUUCAUGUUAUUCUUUUGAAAUACAGUUAGUUUUAUUUGUUACUAUUUCUUUUCACAUCUGGCUGAUUUUUUUUUUAAUGGGAAUAUAUGGAAAAUUACCAUGGUAUUAACAGACUAAGUUCGUUAAUAGACCAAUUUAGUAUUCCUCGCACCUUUCUUUUACUCUGUUCUCAUUCUCCUUUUUUCUACCCCUUUUCCACACAUCCAUAGAGGUGAUGGAUCUCAUGUUUUUUUUGUGACUAUCUUUUUGCACAUAUGAGAAGAUACGUGUGAGAAAGGAGAUGCAGCACUUUAUGUGUGAGAGGUAGUGUACAGUGCAUGCUUUUUGUUUUGGCAACAGAGUCUCACUCUGUCACCCAGGC